ACUCAGGUCAUGAGGCUUGCAUGGCAGGUGACUUGGUCUGCAGAACCACUCACUGGCUCUCAUCUGAGACCUUCCAGUUUGUAUUUUCCUCACUAGACAUAUGGUUGUACUAUAUUUUGAUCUCUUGCUGAGUGGGUCUUCCUGGCACACAUAUUUGUACUAUCUGUAGGCAUGUGAUAAUACUGUUUAUUCCUUUUCUUUACAGAACCUUUCACCCUGCUGUUUUUCUGUUGGUUAGAUUGAUUAUGGAAGAGCUAGAUAACACUGCUGAUGGUGGGAGGUGGUGUGUGCUCAAAUAGCCUCUGUAAUCUCACAGGGCCCUCUCUUCUGUUGUUUCCAUGUCAUGUCAGAAAUGGCAGUUCACAAUCUAAAAUUCAAGGGGUAUUUAUUUUUUACAGCUGUUUUCUUCUGCCGGAUCUUCCCCCCUUCCCCAUGUUGACCUGAGCCUUCUCUUUCUUUGCAUCUUCUGCCUUUCUCUUACUGAAGCUCAUGUCCUCUCCUAGAAGUUCCUUGAAGGAUAAGUCCUGUCUCCAACAGCACACUCUGGGCCACUCCAUCUUGGGAGUUCGUGUACCACAUCGUUCCAGGUCUCACUGCGGCUCUUUGUUCUCAUCAGUCGUUGGCAUGAAAAGCCCCUCAGCUUCCACUGCUGCUCUCAAAUUGAGCCUCUGUGCUUUCCGCCCUGCCUCUCGUGGAUUUUCAGAUCUGUCUGCUGCCCUGCUAUGUCUCUCUCUCCCACAGAGAUGCUCAUUAUGUGACGGUUGUUGGCGCUCCCUGUCCUGUUACCUAGUUUUGCUGUAAAUGUCCCGAGGUGUUCAGUUCUGUCAGUUGCUGCUCUGACUUCUCUAUGGUCAUUUUCAUACAUGAUGAAGCCCUGUCCCAGCUGUCUUUCCAGAAUAUCUGUGUGUGUGUGUGUGUGUGUGUGUGUGUGUGUGUGUGUGUGUGUCCUUUUAAGUCACAGCAGGAAAAGGAAACAUUACACACUCUUAAGUAACUUGUAUAUUUCAUUUGGAAUUUAAUCACAGUGAUGAACACCUUGGAAGAAAUUAGUGAGUAUGGAGGCUGGCAAGAUGGCUCAGCAGGUAAAGCCCUUGCUGCCACGUCUGAUUAUUGAAUUUCAUCUCCAGGACCCCUUUGGCAAAAGGAAAGAACACCCGCAGCUUUAAUGAAGCAAGCUGCCAUGUUGAAGAGGCUCCAACAGCCGGGAACUAAAGCCUUCAGUUUAACAAACCUUAAAGAAUUGAAUCCUUCCCUCAAACCUUGGGAGUGGCCUUGGAAAUGGACUACUCUCCAUGUGUACUUUCAGAUGAGAGCCUCCACCCCAACACUUUCCCAAAACCUCAGUCACAGUCUUGUCCUGAAUCAGAAGAUCUAGCUGACCAUGGCUGAAUUUCUAACUCAGACAAAUUGUGAAAUGAAUAAUAAAUGUGUGUUAUCUUAA